CCUGAGACCCAGCGGAGUGACAGUCAGCAAACUUCCCCCUGUGGCAGCAAACACCAGCUCACGUUGUCCAAAGCUCUGACACAUCCUCUGAAAUGCAUCCCUCUUUGCUGGAUUAGUCAGAUUGUAGGAUUUAAAGGGAAAAAACUCAUGCACACAAUUACUCUGGAUCUGAAAACGGUAGUUUUGGAGCAGAGCAGAGCUGGAGGGCCAGAGCCAAAGCCAGCGUUUGGAGAUGCUCUACGUGAUAAAAACAAGCUAUUAAGUAAUUGCUGGGAGUGGAGGAUCUGAAGGGAAAUAUUGCAUUCGAGAGGAAGCAGAUACUUAGUAAAGCUGUUAAACCCUUAUUUCUGGGGCUCGGAUCCUCAACCAAAGCAGAAGUUGCUGUUGCAGAGCUGUUGCACGGGGCGAGCUGGCCCUGAGCAUGGCAUGGCCAUGGGGCUGGGGGCAUACAGCCCCUCUCCUAGGGAAAGCUGGACAACGAGAUGGCCCUCAGUGGCUUUCAGAUCUCCUCCAGAGAGCUCGAGCAGCCCGGGCAGAGCCCGGCAUCACCAUCACAGCUCCCUGAGAUGCUCUGCACUGCAGCCAUGUGCUCCUCAUACUGCUCAGGUCGCAGCCAGCAUUCACUGGUAAUGAUUCCGAGGCUGAAGAGAGACCCAGGAGGAACUUCUAAACCUGGCUGCAGAUUGCACGCCUAUUAGCUGUAAUGGACCUGCAAUGCACUUUUCCAAUCACAUCAAUGUGCGCAGAGCCAGUCUGACAUUGUGCUGGGCUUGGCGAGACGCAAGCGCCAUCACCGACACCUUCCUGGAGCAUCCCCUCGCCUUUCUUCUUCCGUCUCACCUGGCACGAACUCCUGGCACAGCAUGCAUUAUUACAGCCAUCGCUUUUGAUUAUAUCAUCCUCCGAGGUGAGUGCAGUGCUUGUGAAAGUCACCGGAGAAGUCGGCGCUGCCAGAGGAGCUCCCAGGGGCACCAGGAGACCUUCCUUGCCCGCUCCAGAGCUGCUCUGAGCACCCGUGCCUGCUGCAGGGGGAGGCAGAGCGCCCAGCAGACCUGUUCUCAUCCUCAUCUCCCCAUUUUCUGCCUGCACAGUACCCACGGAAGGGCCCUCCAGACAGGGAGUCCUCUGGUGCAGCCACCACUGACCAUCGGAGCUUUCCUGACACCAAAUUCUCCCAUUUCCACUUUCAAGCCCUUUUCGAACAUCAACACAUUCCCUGAACUUGUGCUCCAUUUGCUUCCUCAAGCUUAUGAAUUGUCAUUGUUGAGGGGAAAGUGGCUGAAAAGUUCAUCAGCCUUUCCCCUUCACCUGGCAUUAACCCAUGGGUGCAUCCAGCUUUACACAGCCGCUGGUGGUCCCUGCCUGCCCCAGGGCGGAUCCAGCUGUGUCUUCUGCCAUAUUCCACAUCCCACAUCCCACCUCUCACCUCUUACGUCUCAUAUCUCAUAUCUCUUAUCUUAUAUCUCAUGUCUCAGACUUUGUGUUUCAUAUUUCGUAGUCACUUGUUAGAGGCUGAAUGAAAGAAAAUGGCUCAGCAUCGGUGAAACAGGCAAGAAGAAAGAAAA